GGGAGAGGAAACCAGGAGAACUCAGUGGGUCACGAGGCUGAUGAAGCUUUUUAAUCAAAUAUUUUGGCUAUCACAAGAAUUUUAAUCACCCAGUUAGGAAAAUUUGGGGGUUUUUUUUUGCUGCCUGGAGCCUGUGGGGCUGGAGCAGGGCUGGAGAGCUCCGGGCCCAUCCAGCAGCAGAGGGUGCUCACGCACUGCUGUGCAAAUCCUCCUUCUCCCUCAGCCAUUUUAGGGAAUUAUUUCCUUUCCCUGCAGUCUCCAUUUUAUGUUCCUGACGCAGAAAAUAAAAAAGUGUCUGCUGAGAACUUGAAGAAAAUCUUACACGGGGCUGUGAUGCUGAAUCCUCUAUUCCAACCACACACGUUUCACAUUUAUUUCAAAUGUGGUUUAAAAGGGAGGAGGGGGAGAGGCCAUAAAUAUUCUCUCCCAGUGCUGUUUCCUGAGCCUGGGAAUACCCAAAGGAAUGGGAUGGGCUCUGUGGGACAGACCUGAGCAGCCCCAAAUGGGUGAGUAAAUCCUCCUCUGGCAGGCAAAGUUUUGGGGAGCAGAGAGGACCUGGCCUCGCUCCUGGCACUGCCCAUAUUUUAAUAUUUUAAUAUUUUCAUAUUUUCAUAUUUUCAUAUUUUCAUAUUUUCAUAUUUUCAUAUUUUCAUAUUUCAUAUAUUUCCACUUUCCUCCGUGUGUGCUCAGGGACAGGGAUUAGA
rnacentral:lncRNA from 1 species